GAAAUUUAUUCUGCGUAAUUUUGUUAUAUAUGAGUAAUCCUGGAAUACUUGUAUACUUCUAAAUUAUAGAUGCUUCUAAAUUAUUUGGGGUUCUAAUUGCUUUGUAGACAAGUUCCUUUAUUUGAAAUAAGAAAAAAGUUAACUAUUACAUCCCUUGGAGUGCUUUCUGGACUUCCCCUUAGUUUGGGUAAUCUGUGCCAUCGAUUCAUUAGAAAUGGGUAUAUUUUAAUGUUAACUCCCAACUUUAGAAAUAAUUCUUCCAGGAAUUUUUUGAGUUCUUUAUCCGUUACUUCUUCCGCUAUAUUUCUAAAUCUGAGGUUCUGUCUUCUAGCGCGAUCUUCUAAAUCUCCCAUUUUUAAUUCU